CGUCUCUGUACAAGUGAGCUUCAGCAGUCAACGUUGAUUUCUCUCGGGGUGGUUUAUUUGUUUAUCGUCGAGGAGCAGGUCAAAAGGGGAGAGAGGGUGAUAUCGUCUGUGACUUCAGUUUCGAUACCUAACGCCGCAGUCGAUUUUGACGCUUGUCAUAUGUUCCAGUUAACGUUCUCCAACUCCGGCAGUUCGCUCAACUAAACCGCAUUCAUUUCGAAAACCCAAAAGGCUGGGCAUUAAUGGCGUUGGUCAUCAUUGCCCGUUGUUAACGCAUGGAAAAAAACACCGACAAUAGCCAGAAAAAUACACAUUUCAACUUUAAAGCCGGUAAUUCAGAAAAAAUACGUCUCGUGUUGUGUUCUCAAUAAAAUCGUAGAUGAUGCUUGA
rnacentral:sRNA from 1 species